AUGUGCAAUAACAGAAAUGCAAAUGCUAUUGAGCCUUACUCAUCAAGAGAAAUACAUGUUUGGACUAAAAACAACGAUAAUUCAUAUAUUGUGGCUGAUAUCUUCUGGACAUACUCUAACUCUGUGAAGUUGUUGAAUAUAUUUCCUCUGGUGUUAAUUUUGAUUGCACAUACAAGACAAACAUUGAAAAACACUCGCACCAAAGCGUCUCAUUCAACGGUUAUCGAAUUUCUUCAACCACAAACGUCGACGAAGAUUUGA